rnacentral:misc_RNA from 1 species
AAGCUUAUUCAUCUCUGGUAUAUAUCUCGAAACCUACAAUGAACAACAGAGAUCACAAGAGAAGAGAUUCUAUGCAUCUGUAGUAUAAGGAAAUAGGGAAUUCAAACCCACCACAGAACCAUUGCCACCAACCUUUCACAUAAAGAUUACUAACAAAUGCAAAUACAAGACAGAGAAGAGUGUGUUUUCUAAAGACCCUUCAAUCCAGCCAUCAACAACUGAAGCCAGAAAACAUUUACAGCUACAUUCUGGCGGUAAAGCAGUUAAAAUCCCGUGGAAGGUCAAUUCACAUUGGCAAAGAGAAAGGGAAAGGGGGACUACAGGCAAAAAUCUAUAAAAUCCUCAAACAAGAUCACAUCACUAACAUUCUAUAUAAAAGCUAAACAUGGCAUAACAUG